GAUGAACGCUGGCGGCGUGCCUAAUACAUGCAAGUCGAGCGAACAGAUAAGGAGCUUGCUCCUUUGACGUUAGCGGCGGACGGGUGAGUAACACGUGGGUAACCUACCUAUAAGACUGGGAUAACUUCGGGAAACCGGAGCUAAUACCGGAUAAUAUUUCGAACCGCAUGGUUCGAUAGUGAAAGAUGGUUUUGCUAUCACUUAUAGAUGGACCCGCGCCGUAUUAGCUAGUUGGUAAGGUAACGGCUUACCAAGGCGACGAUACGUAGCCGACCUGAGAGGGUGAUCGGCCACCCUGGAACUGAGACACGGUCCAGACCCCUACGGGAGGCAGCAGUAGGGAAUCUUCCGCAAUGGGCGAAAGCCUGACGGAGCAACGCCGCGUGAGUGAUGAAGGUCUUCGGAUCGUAAAACUCUGUUAUUAGGGAAGAACAUACGUGUAAGUAACUGUGCACGUCUUGACGGUACCUAAUCAGAAAGCCACGGCUAACUACGUG
rnacentral:rRNA from 1 species